CAGGCAGGGAAACAGAGAUUGCAGGCGGGAAAACUGACCUGGGCGGGAACACAGGCGCGGGAAACAUUGGUUCAGGUGCGACCAGUUAUGAGAAGGGGAAAGAGAGAGUGAAUCGACGCGAGAGGUCUCUCCUGUCUCCUCUCUGGACCAUUGACGGAGGCUUCCUCCUCAGAUCUGCGGCAGCCGCCAGCCUCCUCCCUCCGGCCACAGUUCCUCCCCCUCCUCUCUGGCUGCAGCUCCUCCCCAUCCUCCUCUGGCGCAACCCUCUUCCAGCAGAUCAGCACCACAUCAAGUAGCCAGGUGUACCUGCUCUGAUGGAUCUAGCCAAUGAUCCUAGGAGAAGAGCUACAUCAGAUGAUCCAGCCUGGAAGUAUGGGUUCUGGCCAGAUUUAGAGAGGAAAGAUUUACUCCAGUGUACAUUGUGUGGCAAGAUAGUCCAUGGUGGAGUGAGAAGGCUAAAGCAGCACUUUUCUGGGGGUUCCAGUGAUGCGGAUAAGUGUCCCGAGGCAUCCAUGGAGAUUAGGAUAGAGAUGCACAAUUCCUUAAACACUAGAAAGUUUAAAGCUAUGGAGCGAUAUAUUGAUGAGGAUGAAGCUGAACUUCAAAGGCGCCGUUCUGUCAUAUACACAAGAUGAUUUGAGGCCUAUGCUUUG